rnacentral:rRNA from 2 species
CGCGUUGGCCCAAUUGAUUGAUGGUGCUUGCACCUGAUUGAUUUUGGUCGCCAACGAGUGGCGGACGGGUGAGUAACACGUAGGUAACCUGCCCAGAAGCGGGGGACAACAUUUGGAAACAGAUGCUAAUACCGCAUAACAGCGUUGUUCGCAUGAACAACGCUUAAAAGAUGGCUUCUCGCUAUCACUUCUGGAUGGACCUGCGGUGCAUUAGCUUGUUGGUGGGGUAACGGCCUACCAAGGCGAUGAUGCAUAGCCGAGUUGAGAGACUGAUCGGCCACAAUGGGACUGAGACACGGCCCAUACUCCUACGGGAGGCAGCAGUAGGGAAUCUUCCACAAUGGGCGCAAGCCUGAUGGAGCAACACCGCGUGAGUGAAGAAGGGUUUCGGCUCGUAAAGCUCUGUUGUUAAAGAAGAACACGUAUGAGAGUAACUGUUCAUACGUUGACGGUAUUUAACCAGAAAGUCACGGCUAACUACGUGCCAGCAGCCGCGGUAAUACGUAGGUGGCAAGCGUUAUCCGGAUUUAUUGGGCGUAAAGAGAGUGCAGGCGGUUUUCUAAGUCUGAUGUGAAAGCCUUCGGCUUAACCGGAGAAGUGCAUCGGAAACUGGAUAACUUGAGUGCAGAAGAGGGUAGUGGAACUCCAUGUGUAGCGGUGGAAUGCGUAGAUAUAUGGAAGAACACCAGUGGCGAAGGCGGCUACCUGGUCUGCAACUGACGCUGAGACUCGAAAGCAUGGGUAGCGAACAGGAUUAGAUACCCUGGUAGUCCAUGCCGUAAACGAUGAGUGCUAGGUGUUGGAGGGUUUCCGCCCUUCAGUGCCGGAGCUAACGCAUUAAGCACUCCGCCUGGGGAGUACGACCGCAAGGUUGAAACUCAAAGGAAUUGACGGGGGCCCGCACAAGCGGUGGAGCAUGUGGUUUAAUUCGAAGCUACGCGAAGAACCUUACCAGGUCUUGACAUCUUGCGCCAACCCUAGAGAUAGGGCGUUUCCUUCGGGAACGCAAUGACAGGUGGUGCAUGGUCGUCGUCAGCUCGUGUCGUGAGAUGUUGGGUUAAGUCCCGCAACGAGCGCAACCCUUGUUACUAGUUGCCAGCAUUAAGUUGGGCACUCUAGUGAGACUGCCGGUGACAAACCGGAGGAAGGUGGGGACGACGUCAGAUCAUCAUGCCCCUUAUGACCUGGGCUACACACGUGCUACAAUGGACGGUACAACGAGUCGCGAACUCGCGAGGGCAAGCAAAUCUCUUAAAACCGUUCUCAGUUCGGACUGCAGGCUGCAACUCGCCUGCACGAAGUCGGAAUCGCUAGUAAUCGCGGAUCAGCAUGCCGCGGUGAAUACGUUCCCGGGCCUUGUACACACCGCCCGUCACACCAUGAGAGUUUGUAACACCCAAAGUCGGUGGGGUAACCUUUUAGGAGCCAGCCGC